GUCCAGACUCCUACGGGAGGCAGCAGUGGGGAAUAUUGGGCAAUGGAGGCAACUCUUACCCAGCAAUGCCGCGUGAAUGAAGAAGGUCUUCGGAUUGUAAAGUUCUUUAAUUGGGGACGAAAAAAAUGACGGUACCCAAGGAAUAAGCCCCGGCUAACUACGUGCCAGCAGCCGCGGUAAUACGUAGGGGGCAAGCGUUAUCCGGAUUUACUGGGUGUAAAGGGAGCGUAGACGGCGCUGCAAGUCCGGAGUGAAAGCCCAUGGCUUAACCAUGGUACUGCUCUGGAAACUGUGGAGCUUGAGUGCGGGAGGGGCAGGCGGAAUUCCUAGUGUAGCGGUGAAAUGCGUAGAUAUUAGGAGGAACACCGGCGGCGAAGGCGGCCUGCUGGACCGUAACUGACGUUGAGGCUCGAAAGCGUGGGGAGCAAACAGGAUUAGAUACCCGUGUAC
rnacentral:rRNA from 1 species